rnacentral:rRNA from 1 species
GAUGAACGCUGGCGGCGUGCCUAACACAUGCAAGUCGAACGAAACUGAUUUCAUGAAACUUCGGUAGAUUGGAUGAAAGUUGAGUGGCGGACGGGUGAGUAACACGUGGGCAACCUGCCUCACAGAGGGGGAUAGCAGUUGGAAACGACUGAUAAUACCGCAUAAGCACACAGUACCGCAUGGUACAGGGUGAAAAGAUUUAUCACUGUGAGAUGGACCCGCGUCUGAUUAGCCAGUUGGCAGGGCAGCGGCCUACCAAAGCGACGAUCAGUAGCCGACCUGAGAGGGUGACCGGCCACAUUGGGACUGAGACACGGCCCAAACUCCUACGGGAGGCAGCAGUGGGGAAUAUUGCACAAUGGGGGAAACCCUGAUGCAGCGACGCCGCGUGAGCGAAGAAGUAUUCGGUAUGUAAAGCUCUAUCAGCAGGGAAGAAGAAUGACGGUACCUGACUAAGAAG